UACGGAGGGUGCAAGCGUUGUCCGGAAUCACUGGGCGUAAAGGGCGCGUAGGCGGCUCAUGAAGGCUGUGGUGAAAGUCCGGGGCCCAACCUCGGAUCGGCCGUGGCGACUCGUGGGCUGGAGCACUGUAGAGGCGGGUGGAAUUCCGGGUGUAGCGGUGGAAUGCGUAGAGAUCCGGAAGAACACCAGUGGCGAAGGCGGCUCACUGGUCCAUUACUGACGCUGAGGUGCGAAAGCGUGGGUAGCAAACAGG
rnacentral:rRNA from 1 species